GAUGAAGAACGCAGCGAAAUGCGAUAAGUAAUGUGAAUUGCAGAAUUCAGUGAAUCAUCGAAUCUUUGAACGCACCUUGCGCCCUUUGGACAUUCCGAAGGGCAUGCCUGUUUGAGUAUCAUGAACACCUCAACUCUCACGGCUUGUCCGUGAUGAGCUUGGACUUUGGGGGUCUUGCCGGCCUGUGGUCGGCUCCUCUCAAAUGGAUCAGCUUGCCAGUGUUUGGUGGCAUCACAGGUGUGAUAACUAUCUGCGCUUGUGGUUUUCCAUCAGAUAACCUUCAGUGAUAUGGAGGUUCGCUAGAGCUCACAAAUGUCUCUCCUUAGUGAGGACAGCUCUUUGAACGUUUGAUCUCAAAUCAGGUAGGACUACCCGCUGAACUUAAGCAUAUCAAUAAGCGGAGGA
rnacentral:misc_RNA from 1 species